AAAACUUUCAACAACGGAUCUCUUGGUUCCGGCAUCGAUGAAGAACGCAGCGAAAUGCGAUAAGUAAUGUGAAUUGCAGAAUUCCGUGAAUCAUCGAAUCUUUGAACGCACAUUGCGCCCCCUGGUAUUCCGGGGGGCAUGCCUGUCUGAGCGUCAUUU
rnacentral:rRNA from 1 species